rnacentral:rRNA from 1 species
GAUGAACGCUGGCGGCGUGCCUAAUACAUGCAAGUCGAGCGAACAGACGACGAGCUUGCUCCUCUGACGUUAGCGGCGGACGGGUGAGUAACACGUGGAUAACCUACCUAUAAGACUGGGAUAACUUCGGGAAACCGGAGCUAAUACCGGAUAAUAUAUUGAACCGCAUGGUUCAAUAGUGAAAGACGGUUUUGCUGUCACUUAUAGAUGGAUCCGCGCCGCAUUAGCUAGUUGGUAAGGUAACGGCUUACCAAGGCAACGAUGCGUAGCCGACCUGAGAGGGUGAUCGGCCACACUGGAACUGAGACACGGUCCAGACUCCUACGGGAGGCAGCAGUAGGGAAUCUUCCGCAAUGGGCGAAAGCCUGACGGAGCAACGCCGCGUGAGUGAUGAAGGUCUUCGGAUCGUAAAACUCUGUUAUUAGGGAAGAACAAAUGUGUAAGUAACUAUGCAUGUCUUGACGGUACCUAAUCAGAAAGCCACGGCUAACUACGUG